GAUGAACGCUAGCGGCAGGCUUAACACAUGCAAGUCGAGGGGCAGCGCGGGAUAGCAAUAUCCUGGCGGCGACCGGCGGAAGGGUGCGUAACGCGUGAGCGACAUGCCCGUUGCCCGGGGACAACCGGUGGAAACGCCGACUAAUCCCCGAUGGGAUACGAUGCUUCAUGGCAUUGUAUUGAAAGUUACGGCGGCGACGGAUUGGCUCGCGUCCGAUUAGCUGGUUGGCGGGGUAACGGCCCACCAAGGCUGCGAUCGGUAGGGGUUCUGAGAGGAAGGCCCCCCACAAUGGGACUGAGACACGGCCCAUACUCGUACGGGAGGCAGCAGUGAGGAAUAUUGGUCAAUGGGCGGAAGCCUGAACCAGCCAUGCCGCGUGCGGGAAGGAGGCCCUAUGGGCUGUGAACCGCUUUUGCCUGGGGGAAAUAAGGGCGUCGCGCACGUCCGAUGAGAGUACCAGGCGAAUAAGCAUCGGCUAACUCCGUG
rnacentral:rRNA from 1 species